AGCGAACGCUGGCGGCAGGCCUAACACAUGCAAGUCGAACGGAUCCUUCGGGAUUUGUGGCGGACGGGUGAGGAACACGUGGGAACGUGCCCUUUGGUUCAGAACAACUCAGGGAAACUUGAGCUAAUACCGGACGUGCCCUUCGGGGGAAAGAUUUAUCGCCAUUGGAGCGGCCUGCGUCUGAUUCGCUAGUUGGUGAGGUAACGGCCCACCAAGGCGACGAUCAGUAGCUGGUCUGAGAGGAUGAUCAGCCACACUGGGACUGAGACACGGCCCAGACUCCUACGGGAGGCAGCAGUGGGGAAUCUUGCGCAAGGGGCGAAAGCCUGACGCAGCCAUGCCGCGUGAAUGAUGAAGGUCUUAGGAUUGUAAAAUUCUUUCAGCGGGGACGAUAAUGACGGUACCCGCAGAAGAAGCUCCGGCUAACUUCGUG
rnacentral:rRNA from 1 species